GGGAUAAUAGUAUAGUGGUUAGUACUUCUCGUUGUGGUUGUGAUUUGCUCAACCUCCGAGAGGACCCAGGUUCGAUUCCUGGUUAUCCCA